UACGAAGGGGGCUAGCGUUGCUCGGAAUUACUGGGCGUAAAGCGCACGUAGGCGGCUUGUUAAGUCAGGGGUGAAAUCCUGGAGCUCAACUCCAGAACUGCCUUUGAUACUGAAGAUCUUGAGUUCGGGAGAGGUGAGUGGAACUGCGAGUGUAGAGGUGAAAUUCGUAGAUAUUCGCAAGAACACCAGUGGCGAAGGCGGCUCACUGGCCCGAUACUGACGCUGAGGCACGAAAGCGUGGGGAGCAAACA
rnacentral:rRNA from 1 species